UACAGAGGGUGCAAGCGUUAAUCGGAGUUACUGGGCGUAAAGGGCGCGUAGGCUGAUAUUUAAGUCGGGUGUGAAAUCCCUGGGCUCAACCUAGGAAUUGCAUUCGAUACUGAAUGUCUUGAGUAUGGUAGAGGAAAGUGGAAUUCUCGGUGUAGUGGUUAAAUACGUAGAUAUCGAGAAGAACAUCGGUGGCGAAGGCGGCUUUCUGGGCCAAUACUGACGCUGAGGCGCGAAAGCGUGGGGAGCAAACAGG
rnacentral:rRNA from 1 species